GCCUGGCUAGCUCAGUCGGUAGAGCAUGAGAGGUUUAAUCUCAGGAUUGUGGGUUUGACCCCCACGCUGGGCA